rnacentral:rRNA from 1 species
AUUGAACGCUGGCGGCAUGCCUAACACAUGCAAGUCGAACGGGGCAGCAAUGCCUAGUGGCGGACGGGUGAGUAACACGUGGGAACGUGCCUUUAGGUUCGGAAUAACUCAGGGAAACUUGUGCUAAUACCGAAUGUGCCCUUCGGGGGAAAGAUUUAUCGCCUUUAGAGCGGCCCGCGUCUGAUUAGCUAGUUGGUGAGGUAAAGGCUCACCAAGGCGACGAUCAGUAGCUGGUCUGAGAGGAUGAUCAGCCACAUUGGGACUGAGACACGGCCCAAACUCCUACGGGAGGCAGCAGUGGGGAAUCUUGCGCAAUGGGCGAAAGCCUGACGCAGCCAUGCCGCGUGAAUGAUGAAGGUCUUAGGAUUGUAAAAUUCUUUCACCGGGGACGAUAAUGACGGUACCCGGAGAAGAAGCCCCGGCUAACUUCGUGCCAGCAGCCGCAGUAACAC